rnacentral:rRNA from 1 species
AACGCGAAGAACCUUACCUGGGCUCGAACGGCUUUGGAUCAUCCUUGGAAACAGGGACUUCUCGCAAGAGACCGGAGUCGAGGUGCUGCAUGGCUGUCGUCAGCUCGUGUCGUGAGAUGUUGGGUUAAGUCCCGCAACGAGCGCAACCCUUGUCCUGUGUUGCCACCCCCGCAAGGGGAGCACUCUCAGGAGACCGCCAGCGAUAAGCUGGAGGAAGGUGGGGAUGAUGUCAAGUCAUCAUGGCCUUUAUGUCCAGGGCUACACACGUGCUACAAUGGUCGGUACAAAGCGCUGCAAACCCGCGAGGGGGAGCUAAUCGUUAAAAACCGAUCUCAGUUCGGAUCGCAGGCUGCAACUCGCCUGCGUGAAGCUGGAAUCGCUAGUAAUGGCGUAUCAGAACGACGCCGUGAAUACGUUCCCGGGCCUUGUACACACCGCUCGUC